GAGCAGUAUAGUGUGGAUAGGAGAGGACAGGUUUAUCAAUGCCAGGUCUCAUCCAGCUCCUGUUCACCGCUACCUAUAGACGUUCCCUCAUAUGGAGUGAAUAUGUCCCUUGGCCUGUCGAUGAGCAAGACUGAGACGUCCCCAAAGACAGUGGUUUGUGGUCCGACUAUCCCUAAAGAGUGUGACAGCAUCAAUCUCU